AAAAUAGAUUUUGAAUUUAGACUCUAAAAAGCUUCAAUGAUAAGGAAUUGAAUUCGAUGCUCACGACAUGUGUCGAGAAUUUCAUAUUAAGAAUACACGAUUUUUGUAUUUUAUCUCAUUUAGACAAAUUACCAAUCUAAUAAAAACCGAUCUCUCAUCGCUCCCGUUUUCUGAUAUGUCGCGUGGGAGAUCUAACGAAACCCGCUUUGAGGUCACACAUGAGCUAGAAGGGAAAUAAAGGGUUUAUGUAUUAAUGGAAUGAUACCCUUACUAAAAGAACAAAAGGGUUCAUAUUUUUUGUUUCACUAUAGUGAUUUUCGCCGAUUAUAUGGAGUGUUUAAGCAAAUGGGAAUACUUGAAAACACUUGAAAACACUCUCAUACAAUUUUACACCCAUUUUUUACGAGAUUAAGAAUUCUUUUAUGAAUAUAAAUUGUUUGAAAGAUCACCGCUUAUGAUUAAUGAUGUGCUAAAUAUUACAUUUUUUGUUUGAAUCUUUAAUGUGUUGAAACGAAAUUACAAUAUAUCAGAUGCAAAUGCUGUGUCGAGUAGAUUUCGAGUAUAUUAAUCUAU
rnacentral:lncRNA from 1 species